rnacentral:rRNA from 1 species
CCUGGCGACACUAGCGCGGUGGUCCCACCUGACCCCAUGCCGAACUCAGAAGUGAAACGCCGUAGCGCCGAUGGUAGUGUGGGGUCUCCCCAUGUGAGAGUAGGGAACUGCCAGGC